AGUGAACGCUGGCGGUAGGCCUAACACAUGCAAGUCGAACGGCAGCACAGUAAGAUCUUGCUCUUACGGGUGGCGAGUGGCGGACGGGUGAGGAAUACAUCGGAUUCUACUUUUUCGUGGGGGAUUACGUAGGGAAACUUACGCUAAUACCGCAUACGACCUACGGGUGAAAGCAGGGGAUCUUCGGACCUUGCGCGUUUGAAUGAGCCGAUGUCGGAUUAGCUAGUUGGCGGGGUAAAGGCCCACCAAGGCGACGAUCCGUAGCUGGUCUGAGAGGAUGAUCAGCCACACUGGAACUGAGACACGGACCAGACUCCUACGGGAGGCAGCAGUGGGGAAUAUUGGACAAUGGGCGCAAGCCUGAUCCAGCCAUACCGCGUGGGUGAAGAAGGCCUUCGGGUUGUAAAGCCCUUUUGUUGGGAAAGAAAAGCAGCAGGUUAAUACCCCGCUGUUCUGACGGUACCCAAAGAAUAAGCACCGGCUAACUUCGUG
rnacentral:rRNA from 1 species